AAUUUGAAAUCUGGCUCUUUCAGGGUCCGAGUUGUAAUUUGCAGAGGGCGCUUUGGCGUUGGCAGCGGUCCAAGUUCCUUGGAACAGGACGUCACAGAGGGUGAGAAUCCCGUACGUGGUCGCUGGCCUCCGCCGUGUAAAGCCCCUUCGACGAGUCGAGUUGUUUGGGAAUGCAGCUCUAAAUGGGAGGUAAAUUUCUUCUAAAGCUAAAUACUGGCCAGAGACCGAUAGCGCACAAGUAGAGUGAUCGAAAGAUGAAAAGCACUUUGGAAAGAGAGUCAAAUAGCACGUGAAAUUGUUGAAAGGGAAGCGCUUGCAGCCAGACUUGCCUGUAGUUGCUCAUCUGGGCUCUUGCCCGGUGCACUCUUCUGCGGGCAGGCCAGCAUCAGUUUGGGCGGUUGGAUAAAGGUCUCUGUCAUGUACCUCUCUUCGGGGAGGCCUUAUAGGGGAGACGACAUGCAACCAGCCUGGACUGAGGUCCGCGCAUUUUGCUAGGAUGCUGGCGUAAUGGCUGUAAGCGGCCCGUCUUGAAACACGGACCAAGGAGUCUAACAUCUAUGCGAGUGUUUGGGUGUCAAGCCCGAACGCGUAAUGAAAGUGAACGGAGGUGGGAACCCGUAUGGGUGCACCAUCGACCGAUCCUGAUGUCUUCGGAAGGAUUUGAGUAAGAGCAUGGCUGUUGGGACCCGAAAGAUGGUGAACUAUGCUUGAAUAGGGUGAAGCCAGAGGAAACUCUGGUGGAGGCUCGCAGCGGUUCUGACGUGCAAAUCGAUCG
rnacentral:rRNA from 1 species